rnacentral:misc_RNA from 1 species
GAAAUGCGAUAAGUAAUGUGAAUUGCAGAAUUCCGUGAAUCAUCGAAUCUUUGAACGCACAUUGCGCCCUCUGGCAUUCCGGGGGGGCAUGCCUGUCCGAGCGUCAUUACGCACCCUCAAGCCCGGCUUGUGUGAUGGGCCCCGGCGUCUCGUUCGCGAGACGGGCCCGAAAGGCAGCGGCGGCGUCGACCCGAUGAGCCCGAGCGUAUGGGGACUUCUGUCACACGUUCGCGGUGUGGACCGGCGCCUGCUUGACUUUUCUGAUUAUCCAGGUUGACCUCGGAUCAGGUAGGGAUACCCGCUGAACUUAAGC